UAACGUUUUACAUUCGUGUUGGGCAUUUCA
rnacentral:piRNA from 1 species